rnacentral:rRNA from 1 species
AUCCGGAAUCACUGGGUUUAAAAGGGUGCGCAGGCGGAAUAGUAAGUCAGAGGUGAAAGCCCACAGCUCAACUGUGGAAUUGCCUUGGAUACUGGUUAUUCUUGAGUGUAGUUGAAGUAGGCGGAAUAUAGCAUGUAGCGGUGAAAUGCAUAGAUAUGCUAUAGAACACCAAUUGCGAAGGCAGCUUGCUAAACUAUAACUGACGCUGAGGCACGAAAGCGUGGGGAGCGAACAGGAUUAGAUACCCUGGUAGUCCACGCCGUAAACUAUGAACACUCGCUGUUGGCAAUACACAGUCAGCGGCUGAGCGAAAGCGUUAAGUGUUCCACCUGGGAAGUACGAUCGCAAGGUUGAAACUCAAAGGAAUUGACGGGGGCCCGCACAAGCGGAGGAGCAUGUGGUUUAAUUCGAUGAUACGCGAGGAACCUUACCUGGGCUUAAAUGUAUAUUGACGUACUGAGAAAUCAGUAUUUCUUCGGACAAUUUACAAGGUGCUGCAUGGUUGUCGUCAGCUCGUGCCGUGAGGUGUCGGGUUAAGUCCCAUAACGAGCGCAACCCCUACUUCUAGUUACCAGCAUUUCGGAUGGGGACUCUAGAGGAACUGCCUACGCAAGUAGAGAGGAAGGUGGGGAUGACGUCAAAUCAGCACGGCCCUUAUGUCCAGGGCUACACACGUGCUACAAUGGCCGGUACAGAGGGCAGCUACAUAGCAAUAUGAUGCUAAUCUCAAAAGCCGGUCUCAGUCCGGAUUGGAGUCUGCAACUCGACUCCAUGAAGCUGGAUUCGCUAGUAAUCGCACAUCAGCAAUGGAGCGGUGAAUACGUUCCCGGGCCUUGUACACACCGCCCGUCAAGCCAUGGAAGUUGGGGGUACCUGAAGUCGAUUGCCGUAAGG